rnacentral:lncRNA from 1 species
AUUUUAAUAUUUCUAAAAAUGUUAAUUUUAACUAUGGUGUAAUUUUUAGACUUACGAAAGGAUCCCCAUGCUCUUGAUCACACCUCAGUAUAAAUUCAGUACCAGUAAUCUUUUUAAAAAAGACUUUAAUCUUUAGAAGUUUAGAUUUAUCGAAAAGUUAAGAAGAUAGUCCCAAGAGUUCCCAUAUACCCAUCACUCAGUUUCUUUUCUUAUCAAUAUAUUAAUAUGGCAAUUUGUAACUAUUAAUGAAUCAAUAUUGAUACACUACUAUGAUUAAAGUCCAUUGUUUAUUCAGAUAGUCUUUACUUAAUGUCCUUUUUCUGUUCUAACAUCCCAUGUAGGAUCCCACACUCGACUUAGUCAUUUUGACCCCUUAGGCUCUCCUUGGCAGUGAGUUUCAGACUCCUGUUUAUUGAUGACCUUGACAGUACGAUUGUGUCUCAGGCAGGUUUUGUGGGAGGCCCUUCAUUUGGAAUUUGCUGAGAAAACUUCUUUGCUCUCACUUCUCAUUUACCUCAGUUACGUUUCACAGCAAUUGCAAAUCUUUGACGUAUAUACUUAGGCUCUGAGAAGGAUCCCAUCACCCUCAAGCUUGCACUGUAUGUCAUCCAUGAGUGGCAGGAGAUGUUUUUCCUUACCUAGAAGUGAACAGUGCUACGUGUAACUAUCUCCUUCUGAGUGAGAAAGGCCAGCACUCACUCUACACUGGGUGCCAAUCUGCACCAAAUGCUGUUGCCUUUAUUAUAGGUUUAAUAGCUCCACCCAACAGGCUCUGCUGGAAACCUGUUUAAGACCCACAAUAGAUUUCAUUUUUAAUCUUCUCAGAAAACGUAGUCAGCUCUGUCCUUGCUCUUAAGGGUCAUUCAAAAGGGCUAGAUGAUAAAGGUACCGCUCCUGCCAUGAACACCUGGCCCCACAAUAGGCUGUCUGAAAGCUGAGAGCAAGGAGAACCAGUCCGAAUCCCCAAACUGAAGAACCUGGAGUCCCAUAUUCGAUGGCAGGAAGCGUCCAGCAUGGGAGAAAGAUGCAGGCUGGGAAGCUAGACCCAUCUCUCCCUUUCACGCUUUUUUGCCUGCUUUAUAUUCGCUGGAAGC